AUGGCCGACCCAGGAGUCUCACAGCCGGCGCUGCUCGACGCGGCGUCCCUCUUCCCCGUGCCCGACAGCGCGACCUUCUCCUACGAGACGGUGGGGUUCCGAGCCGACAGGAGCACCAUACCCCCGCGAAUUGUUUCCAUACCAAGGUCCAUGUUAUUGUUUGAAUUUCAGUUUUGUUCUGGCGGAGCAGCGGGUGGGGGAGCGAAAUCAGACGAUGGCCAGCAAGUCCAGGUAGGUUUCGACCGUGGUCGCCCUCGAGUUCCCAAAAUGCCUGACUCUAACGGCAACGGCAUGCACCACAAGGAGGAUGAUGGCCUCUUCACCGACUCCGGCCCCGUCCUCCCCGACUCCUGGUCGUGGCCCUGAGUUCCCAAAAUGCCUGACUCUAACGGCAACGGCAUGCACCACAAGGAGGAUGAUGGCCUCUUCACCGACUCCGGCCCCGUCCUCCCCGACUCCUGAUCCGCCCCUGCUGCCAUGGCCGACCCAGGAGUCUCACAGUCGGCGCUGCUCGACGCGGCGUCCCUCUUCCCCGUGCCCGACAGUGCGACCUUCUCCUACGAGACGGUGGGGUUCCGAGCCGACAGGAGCACCAUACCCCCGCGGUGUGCCACCACCUCAUCUCCGGCGGAGCAGCGGGUGGGGGAGCGAAAUCAGACGAUGGCCAGCAAGUCCAGGCAGGUUUCGACCGUGGUCGCCCUCGUACGAGUUCCCAAAAUGCCUGACUCUAACGGCAACGGCAUGCACCACAAGGAGGAUGAUGGCCUCUUCACCGACUCCGGCCCCGUCCUCCCCGACUCCUGGUCGUGGCCCUGUGCACGAUAG
rnacentral:rRNA from 1 species